AGCAGCCGCGGUAAUUCCAGCUCCAAUAGCGUAUAUUAAAGUUGUUGCAGUUAAAAAGCUCGUAGUUGAAUUUCGGGGUUAGUAAGUUGGUCAUGCCUCUGGUAUGCACUGGCUUUACUGAUUCCUCCUUCUUGAUGAACUGUAAUGUCAUUAAUUUGGUGUUGCAGGGAAUCAGGACUGUUACUUUGAAAAAUUAGAGUGUUUAAAGCAGGCAUAAGCUUGAAUACAUUAGCAUGGAAUAAUGAAAUAGGACGUUUGAUCCUAUUUUGUUGGUUUCUAGGAUUGACGUAAUGAUUAAUAGGGAUAGUUGGGGGCAUUAGUAUUCAAUUGUCAGAGGUGAAAUUCUUGGAUUUAUUGAAGACUAACUACUGCGAAAGCAUUUGCCAAGGAUGUUUUCACUAAUCAAGAACGAAAGUUAGGGGAUCGAAGACGAUCAGAUACCGUCGUAGUCUUAACCAUAAACUAAUGCCGACUAGGGAUCGGAUGAUGUUAUUUUAAUGA
rnacentral:rRNA from 1 species